rnacentral:rRNA from 1 species
UACGGAGGGUGCAAGCGUUAUCCGGAUUCACUGGGUUUAAAGGGUGCGCAGGUGGGUUGGUAAGUCAGUGGUGAAAUCCCCGAGCUUAACUUGGGAACUGCCAUUGAUACUAUUAGUCUUGAAUACCGUGGAGGUUAGCGGAAUAUGUCAUGUAGCGGUGAAAUGCUUAGAUAUGACAUAGAACACCAAUUGCGAAGGCAGCUGGCUACACGAAUAUUGACACUGAGGCACGAAAGCGUGGGGAUCAAACAGG